rnacentral:rRNA from 1 species
CCUGACGCAGCGACGCCGCGUGGGGGAUGACGGCCUUCGGGUUGUAAACCUCUUUCAGUAGGGAAGAAGCGAAAGUGACGUUACCUGCAGAAGAAGCGCCGGCUAACUACGUGCCAGCAGCCGCGGUAAUACGUAGGGCGCAAGCGUUGUCCGGAAUUAUUGGGCGUAAAGAGCUUGUAGGUGGCUUGUCGCGUCUGCCGUGAAAACCCGAGGCUCAACCUCGGGCGUGCGGUGGGUACGGGCAGGCUAGAGUGUGGUAGGGGAGACUGGAACUCCUGGUGUAGCGGUGAUAUGCGCAGAUAUCAGGAAGAACACCGAUGGCGAAGGCAGGUCUCUGGGCCAUUACUGACACUGAGAAGCGAAAGCAUGGGGAGCGAACAGGAUUAGAUACCCUGGUAGUCCAUGCCGUAAACGUUGGGCACUAGGUGUGGGGAACAUUCCACGUUUUCCGCGCCGUAGCUAACGCAUUAAGUGCCCCGCCUGGGGAGUACGGCCGCAAGGCUAAAACUCAAAUGAAUUGACGG